UUUGUCCUACGGGACGCAGCAGUGGGGAAUAUUGCACAAUGGGGGAAACCCUGAUGCAGCGACGCCGCGUGAGUGAAGAAGUAUUUCGGUAUGUAAAGCUCUAUCAGCAGGGAAGAAAAUGACGGUACCUGACUAAGAAGCCCCGGCUAACUACGUGCCAGCAGCCGCGGUAAUACGUAGGGGGCAAGCGUUAUCCGGAUUUACUGGGUGUAAAGGGUGCGUAGACGGGAUGUCAAGUUAGUUGUGAAAUACCUCGGCUCAACUGAGGAACUGCAACUAAAACUAACAUUCUUGAGUGCAGGAGA
rnacentral:rRNA from 1 species